rnacentral:lncRNA from 1 species
UAGAAGGCUCUCCACCCUCUACAUGGAAGAAACUCAAAAUCAAACAAAGAAAACAAAUAAAAGAAGUAAUUGGAGCAUGAUUAAGCAUGUAUAUGCUAAAAGACAACUCUAAACCCAAAAAUAAUGAGAUUAUCAUAAAAUCACUUACUUGACCCAAGUAGGAAAAUCACCAAAUUCCUUGAAAUUAGUCACAAAAAAUGACUUCUCUAGCUUCGCUCUCUAAGAUUUAGUACUUAAAUCAAGUUGGAUGGGUGAAUUU